GACGAACCGUGCGAACGUUGUUCGGAAUCACUGGGCUUAAAGGGCGCGUAGGCGGUCCGACCAGUCUCGGGUGAAAUCUUUCGGCUCAACCGGAAAAGGGCCCGGGAUACUGUCGGACUCGAGGGGGGUAGGGGCGGACGGAACUUCCGGUGGAGCGGUGAAAUGCGUAGAUAUCGAGAGGAACACCUGCGGCGAAGGCGGGUAGCUGGGCCGACACGUGACGCUGAUGCGCGAAAGCCAGGGGAGCGAACAGG
rnacentral:rRNA from 1 species